AGGCAACCGACAGGAAAGGAACUCACA
rnacentral:piRNA from 1 species